rnacentral:lncRNA from 1 species
GUAAGUUGUGGGCAGACUGCGCCGCCGCUCGCGGGCGCGCGGCCGCGGUCCCUGUGACACGGAGUGCAGGUCGUUGCCCGGAAGGAAAGGGGAGCUGUGGCUUGGGCUUAUGAAAGAGAAGCGCUGCCCAUGGAAGUUAUUCCUCUCCUGAAGACCAGCUCACCCUGCUGCCCAGGCCACAAAGCAAGGGCUGUGGCUGAGGUCCGGGGGUCGAUGAGGCAAAGGCUGACCCCAUGGAGGGUAGAGAGGCAGGCGGAGAGAUGAAGGCAGCGAGAGGAACUGAGCAGAGAUGGACUGGGCCUGGGUCCCACAGGGAGGCAGCGUCACUCCUCCCGCCCUUCUAAAGAGUCCCUAACUGCUGCCUUCAGGGGUUGAGAGGUGGCUGGAGACUCCUGUCCUCCCGAUGCCAGCACUGGAGCCCUUGAUGCUUGGAGCUGCCCCAGCUCCUGCUCCCUGAGGACACAGUUCUCAGCCUGAAGGUCAGCAGUCUUGGAGUCUCCCCAGCAUAUCUGACCCCCUUCCCUAGGGGUCCCCAGAGAACAGAUGAGGCCCAGAGAGGUGGAGUGACCUGCGUAAGGUCACACAGCUAGUAUAACGUGGAGCCAGGAGUAUUUAGGCUCCUCAGCCCACAAUCUUAACUACUAAUUUGGGGACAGUAAAGACCACAGAAUCCUAGGAUUGAAGAGGAAGACAGACUGAGGGAGAGACCCAGAGGGGGUCCGGGUGGAAGGAGCUUGAGGUUGAGGAUGGGACUGAAGAUGAAGACUGCUGGGGGCCGUGGAAGCCCCUUCCACCCCCUGCCAGCCAGAUGUAGAUGCAGCGUCUGGCCCGCAUCUAGCUGCUGCUGUGUCUCCUGAGAGCCUCUGCCCUGCUGUCCACAGAGCAGCUCCACAGGACCUCACAACUCCACAUCCCUGGGGCUCCCAGCCACCUCCUUGGCGUCUGUAUCUGUUUCUCUGUGUCUCCGGGUGUGCACAUCUGGGAGCCUGGGCAUGUGUCUCUGGCCAACUGCCACCUGGUGCCAGCGUGCCUUCCAGUACUCACCCACCUUCUCGUGAAGCCUGGGAUGUGAUUCUUCCUCCUGUAGCUCUUUCCUGAGGAACACUGGUACCUCCUAGACCAGGAGUGUGCUAGGAGAAAUGGGGCAAUCUGG